rnacentral:rRNA from 1 species
UACAGAGGUCUCAAGCGUUGUUCGGAUUCAUUGGGCGUAAAGGGUGCGUAGGCGGCGCGGUAAGUCGGGGUGUGAAAUCUUGGAGCUUAACUCCGAAACUGCAUUCGAUACUGCCGUGCUUGAGGACUGGAGAGGAGACUGGAAUUUACGGUGUAGCGGUGAAAUGCGUAGAUAUCGUAAGGAAGACCAGUGGCGAAGGCGGGUCUCGUGGACAGUUCCUGACGCUGAGGCACGAAGGCCAGGGGGAGCAAACGGG